rfam:Brassica oleracea var. oleracea cultivar TO1000 chromosome C9, whole genome shotgun sequence
GUGAGGGUGAUGAAAAAAAUCAUUCGGAUUCCCAAUGAAUAAAAAAUGUGAUUAUUUACCAGCUACUUUUGACUCAC